AUACCAGACUCCUACGGGAGGCAGCAGUGGGGAAUAUUGCACAAUGGGGGAAACCCUGAUGCAGCGACGCCGCGUGAGUGAAGAAGUAUUUCGGUAUGUAAAGCUCUAUCAGCAGGGAAGAAAAUGACGGUACCUGAUUAAGAAGCCCCGGCUAACUACGUGCCAGCAGCCGCGGUAAUACGUAGGGGGCAAGCGUUAUCCGGAUUUAUUAGGUUUAAAGGGUGCGCAGGCGGAAGAUCAAGUCAGCGGUAAAAUUGAGAGGCUCAACCUCGUCGAGCCGUUGAAACUGGUUUUCUUGAGUGAGCGAGAAGUAUGCGGAAUGCGUGGUGUAGCGGUGAAAUGCAUAGAUAUCACGCAGAACUCCGAUUGCGAAGGCAGCAUGCCGGCGCUCAACUGACGCUCAUGCACGAAAGUGUGGGUAUCGAACAGGAUUAGAUACCCUUGUAA
rnacentral:rRNA from 1 species